rnacentral:rRNA from 1 species
GUGCUCUCACGCAGAGCGUGUCAGAUAGUUUACUUUGAGAAAAAUAGCGUGUUCAAAGCAGGCGUUGAUUCAUUUUUGAUUUGUGCCUAACGUGGGUUUGUCAUUUUCAUUGGCAGAUUUCCACUCUUGUGCCUGUUCUCAAUUGUUUUUUGCGACAAUUGUGGCUGGCAUGACUUGAAUACAUUAGCAUGGGAUAAUGGAAGAGGACAUUGGUUCUGUUGUUUCGACCCCGAUCACUUUGGCUUGAAUUGUUCACUCAGUUUGGGCAGGUUCGAGGACCGAUGUAAUGGUCAACAGGGACGGUUGGGGACAUUCAUACUCCAUGGCUAGAGGUGAAAUUCUUGGAUUCAUGGAAGAUGAACCAGUGCGAAAGCAUUUGUCAAAGAUGUUUUCAUUGAUCAAGAACGAAAGUUAGGGGAGCAAAGACGAUUAGAUACCGUCGUAGUCUUAACCAUAAACGAUGCCGACUCGGGAGAAAGAUUGUUGCCAGACGAGCUGGGGGUGGGUUGUUGACCGAAAGGUUAGCUCUCUUACCCCCACAUUGCGUCUUCAACAGCACCUCCGUUGAAUCAAAACACACAAGGGAAACCGUUAAGUGUUUGGGUUCCGGGGGGAGUAUGGUCGCAAGGCUGAAACUUAAAGGAAUUGACGGAAGGGCACCACCAGGAGUGGAGUUUGCGGCUUAAUUUGACUCAACACGGGGAAACUCACCAGGUCCAGACAUGGGAAGGAUUGACAGAUUGAGAGCUCUUUCUUGAUUCCGUGAAAGGUAGCGCAUGGCCGUUCUUAGUUGGUGGAGUGAUUUGUCUGGUUAAUUCCGUUAACGAACGAGACCUUGGCCUGCUAACUAGUUGCGGGGGGUGGUUUUGGUGGGGGGUUGGGCAGAAAUGCCUACCUCACUGACAUUCAUGCCUCCUGUGUGCAAGCUGCUUGCUUCAUGGUAAGCAGUCUGCCGUGCGAAUUCAAAAACACAACUUCUUAGAGGGACAAUCUGCG